CCGAAGUCGGACGCUCAACGGACUGAGCCACCCCAGGUGCCCCGUGAUUUCUUUUUUCUUAAUUAACAAUAUCCUUCUAUUGAAAAAGUAACAGGCACAUAGUAAAAUUUUUAAUGAGGCAAAGGGUAUACGAUGGAAAAGAUAUCUCCCUACUGCCCUUGACAUCCAGGUCCUUUCCUUGGAGACGCUCGCUAUUAAGAGUGUCUUAUUUAUACUUUCACCUAAAAGUCGUAUCUGUCUGUUUUUCUUGUACACAAAUGAGAGCAUAGCAGUCACACUGUUCUGUAUUCUGCCUUUGUACCCUUAACCGUCUAUCUCAGGAACUUUUUUAUAGGUACAUAUACAUCUAUCACAUUCUUCGAACAGCUGAUCAUCGUACAGAAUUUAUUUAAACGUUUACCUGAAGGAAAGGCACAAAGGGUGUUUUGACCCUUUGGCUAUUAUAAACUGACCUGUGAUAAACGUCCUCGUGCGUAGAGGUACAGAUAUUUUAGCAUGUAAUAUCUCCAGGGUAGAAUUCAAGUAUUGACGGUAAGACAGUUAACGGGCCGGAUAAUAUGUGAAUUUUUUUAAUGCUGAUACGUGUUCUUAAUUGGUCCCCACACUAAUGUCGUCGGUGGCGCCUUCAACCAACAACCUGAGAGUGUCUCACAGUCCACGGCCGCCUCUACUUCAGGUAGGUGACUCUUCUUCUAGGUGUGACCUGCUACUUGGAGCUUUAGCAAAGUGAUAAGAGAAAAAGUGUUAUAUCCUUGUCUUCAUUUAGGUUUUUUAAAUUACAGGUAAGAUGAAGCAUCUGUUUGUACUUCUAAGUCAUUUACAAAUAUUUUUUCCUGAUUUGCCUCUUUGUACACUUUGCUUAUCCUUAUAUUGGCUUGUCUUUUUCUUAUUCAGAAGGGCACUUUUUUAAAAAAAGCUUAUUUAAGGGGCGCCUGGGGAACUCAGUGCGUUAAGCGUCCGACUUCAGCUCAGGUCAUGAUCUCACAGUCCGUGAGUUCGAGCCCCGCGUCGGGCUCUGUGCUGACGGCUCGGAGCCUGCAGCCUGCUUUGGAUUCCGUGUCGCCCUCUCCCUCUGCGUCUCCCUGACUUGUGCUCUGUCUCUCUGUCUCUCUCUCUUUCAAAAAUAAAUAAAUAAAACUUUAUCAUAAAUAAAAUAAGGUUUAUUUAUUUUUGAGAGAGAGAGACAGUGUGCAAGCAGGGGAGGGGCAAAGAGAGAGGGAGAGAGAGAGAAUCCCAAGCAGGCUCUGCACUGUCAGCGAGGAGCCGGAUGCAGGGCUCGAACAUGAGAUCAUGACCUGAGCCGAAAUCAAGAGUCAAAGGCUUAACUGACUGAGCCACCCGGGUGCCCCUGAAAGGGCCCUUUAUAUCCUCGGAAGCCUAGUUCUUUUUAUGUCAAACACAUCGUCAAUAUUUUUUCCAGUUGCCAUUUAUCGGGUGACUUCUCUGGGAUGCUUUUUACUGAGAAAAUGUGUUAAUUGCUUACGUCGUUAAAUUUAUCAUUAUUUUUCGGUAAAGAUUUGGGCCAUGUGUCUUGCUGUAGGGAGGCUUUCUCUAUUUCAUGGAUGUAAAACGUUUUCCCCAAGUUCUCUUCCAAGAGACGUUUUCCAAAUCCAUUCUUCCUGUGUAAAUCUUUGAGCGGUCUGGCAUUUAUUUUUAAGGAAGGAGUGCAUUAAGAAUCUAGGUUUCUCUCUUUUUCUUUCAAAAGAGAUAGCCAGUUGUCCCAACAUCAUUUAUUGAACUAUUUGUCUUUUCGUCACUGGAAAAAAUACCGUUUAUCAUAUACUAAAGUCCCAUCAUUAGUCGGGUCUAUUUUUGGACACUUUUCUGUUUCACUGAUGUAUCUAUGCCUGUGCCGGUACUGAGCAGUUUUAUUUACUGUACAUAGUUAGUACAUUUUAUUAGCUGGUCAGAUGAGCCCCUCUGUUAUUUUUGUUUUUCAGGAAUUUUCUUUGCUCAUUCUGUUCUUUUCUUAAAAGCAUAUUUAUUUGGGGGCGCCUGGGUGGCUCGGUCGGUUGAGCUCCCGACUUCGGCUCAGGUCGUGAUCGCACGGCUUGUGAGUUCGAGCCCCACGUCGGUCUCUGUGCGGACAGCUCAGAGCCUGGAGCCUGCUUUGGAUUCUCUGUCCCUCUCCCCCUCCUCCACUGUGUGCGCGCUCUCUCUCUCUCUCUCAAAAUAAAUUUAUUUAUUAUCACAUGUGUGAGUGGGGCAGGGGCAAAGGGAUGGAGAGAGAGAAUCCCAAGCAGGCUCCAUGCUGACAGCGGGGGCUCCAUGUCCGGAACCGUGAGAUCAUGACCUGAGCCGAAACCAAGACUCGGACACUUACCCGACUGAGCCACCCAGGUGCCCCUUGCCCCUUUCUGUUCUUAACUUAUGUCUCCAAAAGUUCACCUCUAGCUCCGUGAACCUCGAGUGGUCAGUGCCGUGUUCCCCUCUACUUCACCCUGUCGGUGAGGACGGGAGUCCUGCUCUGGGGCCACCAGGAUGGUCUAGCACAUGACAGACACUUUACAGGUGAGUUUGACACAAGUUUGUUAACCGCAUAUGUUCACCAUCUGGGGGAGGAGGACACGUGCCAUGUAGGGCCACACAGGUGUUCCAUUCCAGAACAGAGGGAACCAACAGGUGCGAGGGAAGGCCGGCCUUGUAGUUACAAGAGGAUGGGGUGCCCCCUGCUUCCUGCAGAAGGAAAGGAUUGGUUUGUCUAAAUUUCUCUGGCUGGAGGGUUGCCGAAACCUUCACCAGCAGGCACCGUGCCUGGUCUGUGUGCUAAUGGGGGUUGUUUGCUAGAAGACCAUAUCCACGUGAGCACGGUGGAGAGUGGAACGUGCAGCUGGGCUCUUUGAGGCCCUCUUUGUUUUCCCAAGGUAUCGAGAUACGCACCAGAUUAGGCCUUACUCCACAACCGACCCUUGAGGCCUUGACCUCGAUUUCAACCUUGAUGAUGACUGAGCCUUCCGGAGAGUAUGACACAGAGAGACAGAGCAUGAGCAGGGGAGGGGCAGAGAGAGAGGGAGACACAGAACCGGAAGCAGGCUCCAGGCCCCGAGCUGUCAGCCCAGAGCCCGACGCGGGGCCCGAACUCAUGGACCACGAGAUCGUGACCUGAGCCAAAGUCGGACUCUUAACCGACUGAGCCACCCGGGCGCCCCAGAUUCUAGAACUUUGUGUUGGCGAAGACUUCAUUUCAGCGUCAAAGGUGGAGCAGCUCUCGGUUUCCUGAAGGCUUUUCUGGAAUUGAAGAGACGGCCGGGACCUUGCACCGUGUGUGGCAACGAUCCGUCCCUUUUCCGUAAGCUCCGUCAUAAACGUAAAAGAAGGAAACAAACGCCAAACAGAGCAUAUUUGCCAAAUCUCGAUCUAUAACAGCAAAACGGUUGCCAGUGGCUGAUUGACUAGAAUCGUACCUGGAUCCCUUCCAGACCUGGUGAGCCCUCUGCAAAUGCACACUCGCCGUUUGAGGGUGGCCUCCACGUGACUCAGCUCAGAGGCACAAAGAGAUACAGACGUGGAAUGAAGAGCCCCCACCUCAGCUGCUCCAAGUACUCACAAGGAUCCGCAGGGGGAGCGUGACACAGAGGGUCAUGGAAACGCUACCAAAGCAAUGCCAAGGAGGAUGUUCAUCUCUUGCCCGUCAAAAGUCUCUACAGCCUUGGUCCCGGAGGUACAUCCGGAACCUCUCGUCACUGCCACAUCCCUUCUAAGUUAUCAGCCGUCACUACUUGGAAGACGUCACCCACGUUCGCCGUGAAUCUGCUCUCGACCAAAUGCAAAACGGAACAACACAGCCUGGAACUCUCUGCAUUCUUCCUCCGUUUUCAUCCGUGUUCUAAAUAGGAUUUCAUUCAAGUGUCACUGAACACCAAGGACCAUUUGUCCUUCCAACAGAAACCAAAAGGGCUUAUGCUGUAGAAAUCACCGAAGGCAUAAUGGGUGGAGCGGACUUAGAAUGCAGUACUCACUGUCUCCCGUUUUUCACCUGGAUCGUUGAAAGAAGUGGGCUGCUUCAUCCGUCCUCUGGUUUCCCCAUUUUUUUUUUUUUUUUAAUGUUCAUUCAUUUUUGAGAGAGAGCAUGAGCUGGGGAUGGAUGGGCAGAGAGGAAAAGAGGACAGAAGAUCCCAAGCAGGCUCCGUGCUGACAGCCAGCAAGCCUAAUGCAGGGCUCGAACUCAGGAGCUGUGAGAUCGUGACCUGAGUUGAAUUUGGACGCUCAACCGGCUGAGCCACACCAGGCGCCCCUGGUUUCUAUUUGUGUAAUGAGAUUCUAUAUCUGGACCUUCCUUUUUUUUUAGUGGUUUUUUUUUUUUACAUUUAUUUAUUUAUUUAUUGAGAGAGAGAGAGACAGAGCAUGAGCAGGGGAGGGGCAGAGAGAGAGGGAGACACAGAAUCCGAAGCAGGCUCCAGGCUCCGAGCUGUCAGCACAGAGCCCGAUGCGGGGCUCGAACUCACAGACCACGAGAUCAUGACCUGAGCCGAAGUCGGACGCUCAACUGACUGAGCCACCCAGGCACCCCUGUAUUUGGACCUUCAGAUGGCUUGCUUGUGCCCACUCCUGCGUCAGCUUGGUUUUGUUCUUUCGUGGAAUGGGAUUCAAAGGUGCUCCUGAGUGGCAGAAGGUUGUCCUCUUCUGAGCCGUGAUGAAUGGGAACAGAGCAGAAUUACACGGCCGCCUCGGAUGCCACAACCCCACUAAAGGGCACUGAACAUAUUCCAUAUGAUAACUGCAAUGGUGGAUACACGACCUGAUGCAUUUGUCAAGUCCCAGGAAACUUGACAGUAUGAAGAGUAAAUCAACCUUGGUGCACACAAGUUUUUGUAAGUCUGGUAGGAAGUUAGGGGAUCUCGGAAGGAAAUAUAGAAUGUAACAGAAGAUCGUAACUGUAUUAAAAAGGCACGAAACGACCUCACUGAAGGGGCAGAAGAAUACACUGAGCUCAAUUACGCCGGCAAUAAGCGGGCUCUAAGAAUGACCUCAGAAGAACCUGUACAGAAACGCCGUACUCGAGAAAGAUACUUCCCGUGGAGGCGAGGGUUAACCGGUUUGAAACUGCUACACCUGAAUCCGGGAAAUAAGCAAUGAGCUACAUGGAUGGCAGGUGGUAGGACGGCGAGGUCACAGGUCAGCAGGGGAAGGGAGCCAGAAGGAUCCACGUGGUAAUGGAUGAGCGUUGGAGACAUCGGUAAAAACUCGUAUCUGCUUUAAUACAGGUAAAGACACAUUCAUGUAGAAAUAUUUCUCGAUACGUAGAGGUACGUGGGUUAGCGUACCUAAGUGACUUUCCGUGCUCUCUCACCUGAGAGGGCCUCCGAUAAAUGCCACGCCAGCAGCAACUAAGAUGCCUAGCCCACAGGUCUUUGUUUCUAAUACCAUUCUCCCAUAAAGGGAACCAAGAAUUCUCAGAGAAAUGACCGAUUCCAGGAAUGGGGCAGGAAAUAGCCUCGUUUUAGUUCCUGAGCAUUUUCUAGUGCCAGUAACUAAGGUAGGGCCCCCAACAAAACAAAACACAAUAAUGGGGAUAUGUCAAAGGGACGGAGAAGCCAACCGAAAGAGCUCGCAGUGGCCAAAGCUGGAACAUCUGUGCGACAAAAUAAGGUCGUAUUGGACGAUGACACAACUUCUAAAAAUAAAUAUCUGCGAGUUCCCGCUAAUAGAAAUAAAGGACUGACUGAAGAAAUAAAUGGCUGGGGGGGGGGGGGCGGUUGGAGAAUAGACAACCCUCCCUUGCAGAAGAUUUACGUAGAGAGUCUGCUUUCAAGGAGAUGGAACAUAGAGGAGGUUGUGUGGAGUGACGUCCCUUCAAAGAGCUGAGUAUAUGGAAGAAACGGGGGAAAUAGUAAAUUUACAAUGGAGAAUCCUGACAACACUACCUCGCCAGGUGGUCAAGGUUAAUAGUAGCGGUGAUAGAAACACGUGGAGGGCAUGUACCCUUGAUACGAAGCCACGAGAUUGGUUUAGCUGCGGUCUUCUGCCAUAAAACCCACAGCAUCAGUCUAAUCAUGGAAAACACCAGUUGAGGGACUUUGACAAAACGCGUGACCAGCACUCUUCGAAAGCGUCAAGGUCUUCAAGAACGAGGAAAGUCAGAGCAAAUCGCCACAGCCAAGAGAGCCCAAAGAGACAUAACGACUAAGUGCAAUGUGGCAUCCCGGUGGAAUCUGGAAGAGAAAAAAAAAAAAAACAGGUAAAAACUAAGGAAGUCUGUGUGAAGUAGAAGCUUUUGUUUUUUAAUUUUUUUUUUUAUGUUUAUAUAUCUUUGAGAGAGACAGAACGUGAGCGAGGGAGGGGCAGAUCUUGAGAGGGAGACAGAAUCCGAAGCAGGCUCCAGGCUCCGAGCUGUCAGCACAGAGCCCGACACGGGGCUCGAACUCAGGGACCGUGAGAUCAUGACCUGAGCCGAAGUCUAGACGCUUAAACGACUGAGCCACCCAGGCG